GCAAGUGGGAGGUAUCUCCAGAUUGUGCUGCACUGUGCUUGGUACUGGGAGAACCUAUGAUGCCAACUGUGGGGGGAAUAAAGUUGCUUAGCAACGUGGAAAUGGGAGAAGCUAUAAGGCUUCCCAGUGUUCACGCAAUCGUCCCUAUUUCUGUGCCUCUUCUACCUUUCAUCCCAGAGGUUAACUGGUGCUGUGAAUUCUGAAAUGUGUCAGACCCACACUGCAGUCUGAAGGCUCUCUCGACCUACGCUUGCUCCAUCUCCCGUUUAUCCUCCAUUUAUGUUUCCUC
rnacentral:lncRNA from 1 species